rfam:Polaribacter atrinae strain KACC 17473 LPB303_18, whole genome shotgun sequence.
UAGGGUGGUUAUAGCAUUGGGGCUCACCUCUUCCCAUCUCGAACAGAGAAGUUAAGCCCAAUCGCGCCGAUGGUACUGCAUUUAUGUGGGAGAGUAGGUCGCCGCCUUUC